rnacentral:rRNA from 1 species
UGUUUGGGAAUGCAGCUCAAAAUGGGAGGUAAAUUUCUUCUAAAGCUAAAUACCGGCCAGAGACCGAUAGCGCACAAGUAGAGUGAUCGAAAGAUGAAAAGCACUUUGGAAAGAGAGUCAAACAGUACGUGAAAUUGUUGAAAGGGAAGCGCUUGCAACCGGACCUGUCCGUGGGCGAUCAACCUCCGUUCUCGGGGGUGCACUCGUCCACGAUCAGGCCAGCACCGGUUCGGGCGGCAGGAAAACGUCGCGGGAACGUGGCUCCCCUCGGGGAGUGUUAUAGCCCGUCGUCAUAUGCUGCCAGCCUGGACCGAGGACCGCGCUUCGGCUAGGGUGCUGGCGUAAUGGCUGUAAGCGGCCCGUCUUGAAACACGGACC